rnacentral:tRNA from 2 species
AGUCCCGUAGUGUAGUGGACUAUCAUUCAGGACUUUGGAUCCUGAGACCCCGGUUCGAAUCCGGGCGGGACUA